GAUGAACGCUGACCGAAUGCUUAACACAUGCAAGUCGAUGGGGAAGUGGUGCUUGCACCCUGGUAACCAUGGCGGACGGGUGAGUAACGCGUAAGGAACUUGCCUGCGGGACUGGGAUAACAGCAGGAAACUGCUGAUAAUACCGGAUAAGGUCAUUAAGCUGCAUAGCUUAGUGAUGAAAGGAGACGCCUGCGGAGAGCCUUGCGUCCUAUUAGCUAGUUGGAGGGGUAACGGCCCACCAAGGCGAAGAUAGGUAGCCGGCCUGAGAGGGUGGACGGCCACAAGGGGACUGAGAUACGGCCCUUACUCCUACGGGAGGCAGCAGUGGGGAAUAGUGGACAAUGGGGGCAACCCUGAUCCAGCAAUUCUGUGUGCACGAAGACGGUUUUCGGAUUGUAAAGUGCUUUCAGCAGGGAAGAAGGAAGUGACGGUACCUGCAGAAGAAGCGACGGCUAAAUACGUG
rnacentral:rRNA from 1 species